rnacentral:rRNA from 1 species
AGCGAACGCUGGCGGCAGGCCUAACACAUGCAAGUCGAACGAAGUCUUCGGACUUAGUGGCGGAUGGGUGAGUAACACGUGGGAACGUGCCUUUAGGUUCGGAAUAACUCUGGGAAACUUGUGCUAAUACCGAAUGUGCCCUUCGGGGGAAAGAUUUAUCGCCUUUAGAGCGGCCCGCGUCUGAUUAGCUAGCUGGUGAGGUAAAGGCUAACCAAGGCGACGAUCAGUAGCUGGUCUGAGAGGAUGAUCAGCCACAUUGGGACUGAGACACGGCCCAAACUCCUACGGGAGGCAGCAGUGGGGAAUCUUGCGCAAUGGGCGAAAGCCUGACGCAGCCAUGCCGCGUGAAUGAUGAAGGUCUUAGGAUUGUAAAAUUCUUUCACCGGGGACGAUAAUGACGGUACCCGGAGAAGAAGCCCCGGCUAACUUCGUGCCAGCAGCCGCGGUAAUAC